UAUAUUUAAAUAAAUUUUUUAUGGUUUAAAAAUUUUAAUUUAAGUUUAUUUUACAUAUAAAUUUUAGUAAAAAUUUUUAAUUAUUUUAAAAAUAAAUUAAUUUUAUUUUAAUAGUAAUUAAUAUUAAAAAUUUAAGAAAUUAAGAUUUAGUAAUAUAAAAUUAAAUAACAAAAUUUGUGCCAGCAGUUGCGGUUAAACAAAAAUUUAUAUUAAAUUUUAUCAGUAAAUAAUAAAUAAUUAUUUAAAAUUUAAUUAAAUAAUAAAUUAUUAGGUGAAAUUUUAAUUUAAUUAAAAUUAAUUUUAAUAUUAUGAUUUAAUAACUUUAUAAAUAAACUAGGAUUAGAUACCCUAUUAUAAAAAAAUUAAUUAAAAGUACUAAAAUAGUAAUUAAAUAUUUAAUGAAACUUAAAUAAUUUGGCGGUAUUUUAGUUUAUUUAGAGGAAUCUGUUUAAUAAUUGAUAAUCCACGAAUAAAUUUACUUAAUUUUUAAUUUUGUAUAUCGUUGUUAAAAAUAUUUUUUUAUGAUAUUAUUAAUAUUUAAAAAUUUUAAAUUAAAAUUAAAUCAGAUCAAGAUGCAGAUUAUAAUUAAGAAUAUAAUGGAUUACAAUAAAUUUAUUUAAAUGGAUGUAAAUUUUGUAAAAUUAAAUAGAAGGUGGAUUUAAAUGUAAUUUUAUUUAGUUUAAUAAAAUGAUUAAAAAUUAAAAUAUGUACAUAUUGCCCGUCGCUUUCAUAAAUAAAUUGAAAUAAGUCGUAACAAAGUAGAGGUACUGGAAAGUGUUUCUAGAAAGAU
rnacentral:ncRNA from 1 species